GAGUUUGAUUAUGGCUCAGGAUGAACGCUAGCGAUAGGCUUAACACAUGCAAGUCGAGGGGCAGCAUGAACUUAGCUUGCUAAGUUUGAUGGCGACCGGCGCACGGGUGCGUAACGCGUAUGCAACUUGCCUUACAGAGGGGGAUAACCCGUUGAAAGACGGACUAAUACCGCAUAUACUUAUUCGGUUGCAUGACCGGGCAAGGAAAUAUUUAUAGCUGUAAGAUAGGCAUGCGUCCCAUUAGCUGGUUGGUGAGGUAACGGCUCACCAAGGCAACGAUGGGUAGGGGAACUGAGAGGUUUAUCCCCCACACUGGUACUGAGACACGGACCAGACUCCUACGGGAGGCAGCAGUGAGGAAUAUUGGUCAAUGGGCGAGAGCCUGAACCAGCCAAGUCGCGUGAAGGAAGACUGUCCUAAGGAUUGUAAACUUCUUUUAUACGGGAAUAACGGGCGAUACGUGUAUUGCUA
rnacentral:rRNA from 1 species